rnacentral:lncRNA from 1 species
AAAAAGAUGAACAGAAUGGAGUAAAUAAAGGACGCUGAAAUAAAAGGAUUCUAAGGAGGAGAUGUAAAAGUCAGCAUUAGCUGGGACUUCAGAACAAAUGAAACCAAGGGAAACUAGGAGGGUCAGACGUCCCAGCUGUGUUCUGUUGGGACAAGCUCUGUUCACGGCAGGGGCUCUCUCAGGAGGAAGCUGAAGCCGCUCAGACUCGCUGUGGAGUGGGGAGAACUCCCAGGAACGAAAACGGGAGCUUUGAGACUCCUGUUGAGGGGGAAUCGCUGUGUGUAGACCAAGCAGGGGGCGGGGACUGCGCUGCUUCCGGGGCAUGUUCCUGGGAUGGACCGGAACAGAUCCAGCCCCUGACACCUGCGCUUCUGCUGACGCGCAGACGGCAAAGCACCGCCAAAGCAGCCCGAGCUGCAUCCAGGGACCCUGGAGCCCUGGGUGGCCUCAGCAGAAAGAGCUCAUUUCUCAGGGACUUAAAUAGAUGACAUCACACUGCUGAAAGACCAAGGAAAGCCGUGUCUCUAGGAGGUCCCGCCGGCCCCCCAGCAUCUUCCCCUCUGAGACCCUUUCCCAUCUGUGCUUCCAGGCCCAGGUGGUGCCAGAACUCAAGGCAACGCUCCUACAGGCCUGACCUCCCAACACCAACCUUCAGGACGGGAGCUUCCCACAGCUCCCCAGGUCCGGCUUCGGCGCUAAGUAGAGCUUUAAAUCCUAGGGAUCAGCAGGUAGACGAAGUAUCAAUCCCACAGCAACGUC